rnacentral:rRNA from 1 species
CCCUUAGAUGUUCGGGGCCGCACGCGCGCUACAAUGAGUCGAUCAACGAGCGUUCUUUUUUCCAAGUCCGAAAGGUCGAGGUAAUCCGUUGAACCCGACUCGUGCUAGGGAUAGGGAAUUGUAAUUGUUUCCCUUGAACGAGGAAUUCCUAGUAAACGCAGAUCAUCAAUCUGCAUUGAUUACGUCCCUGCCCUUUGUACACACCGCCCGUCGCACCUACCGAUUGGAUGGUCCGGUGAAGCCUCGGGAUUGUGGUUCUUGCCGCUUUAUUGUGGCGUGACCGCGAGAACUUGUCUAAACCUUAUCAUCUAGAGGAAGGUGAAGUCGUAACA